GUCCACGCCGUAAACGAUGGAUACUAGCUGUUCGGGGCAACCUGAGUGGCUAAGCGAAAGUGAUAAGUAUCCCACCUGGGGGAGUACGUUCGCAAGAAUGAAACUCAAAAGGAAAUUGAACGGGGGCCCGCACAAGCGGUGGAGCAUGUGGUUUAAUUCGAUGAUACGCGAGGAACCUUACCAAGGCUUAAAUGUAGAUUGACCGGUUUGGAAACAGAUCUUUCGCAAGACAAUUUACAAGGUGCUGCAUGGUUGUCGU
rnacentral:rRNA from 1 species